rnacentral:rRNA from 1 species
UACGGAGGGUGCAAGCGUUAUCCGGAUUCACUGGGUUUAAAGGGUGCGUAGGUGGGUUUGUAAGUCAGUGGUGAAAUCUCCGUGCUUAACAUGGAAACUGCCAUUGAUACUAUAGAUCUUGAAUUUUCUGGAGGAUAGCGGAAUAUGUCAUGUAGCGGUGAAAUGCUUAGAUAUGACAUAGAACACCGAUAGUGAAGACAGCUCACGAGGGCGUUACUGACGCUGAGGCACGAAAGCGUGGGGAUCGAACAGG